rnacentral:lncRNA from 1 species
GGGGCUUUGCAGUCGGGGGAGAAGCUGCGGGAGGCGAUUCGGACGCUGCGGAGGUUGUCUGCGGCGGUGCAGCGGGCUAGGGAGCGGCAGCGGCAGCUGCUGGGAAGUGCUGCAGCGUUGAGGGUGCAGAGCGAGAGAAAGGGGCAGGGGGAUCCUGGACGACAGCAACAGGGGCAGCAGGGGCAAUGUGGGGAAGGGUGCUGGCCGGGGGUCGGAGAAGUGGGAGGCGAGCAGGACGAGGGGAUGGAGAGGGAGGAGAUGGUGGAGGGGCAGCAGGACGAGGGGAAGGCAGCGGAGGCCACCGUGCGGCUGGCGCAGGAGCUGCGGAUGGCCCUGGUGGACGCUUACGUGCAGUACGGGGACGUGGCUGCAUCUUGCAUGCUGCUGGAAGUGACGUGAGCAAAGAGGGUUGAAGCAAGGACGGAGAGGUACAUAGGUGGUCUUCCAGCGGUCCAGGUGGUUUCGACAGUUUCCGACUACCAACAAUGUAUGCCUUACGAAAGACCUUCCAAGGAAUUGUGUGUGUCCAGUGUCUUGCAUUUUUAACAGAUAUGGUAUAAGAUUUCAUUUAUGUAGUUAGCUAAGGCUUCGUGACUUACACAGCGACAUGGUUAUCGCAUGACGAUGUCUUUGCUCUGGUGAACAUUCAUCUUGGUGCCGGACACCAAAUUGCUUGCGGCAAGGGCAUCAAGCCUUAUGACUUUGGCAAACGACAGCCGUGAUGGCCAGCAGCCGCCUGCGAUUACAGUUGAUGUGGGAGAAAAACCCGUGCAAGCUCCUACGUCUGUUGUGCUCGAUUACUUCCGAAAAUGGAAGGGUGGAACCGAUACACCACUUCCCCGGGAGCCAUUACGCAACUUAGCAGUCUCAUGGGCUGGCGCAUUUAUUGCCAUCCUCGUAGUCGCUGCUCUCGACCAGUACGCAGGUGAGA